GUUUACGUGAAUAUCUCGCGAGAAUUUUGCACCUUCUUCCGCCCUGCCUGCUCAGUCUUGGGAGUUCAGUUCCGCUUACUCGAACAUGGGUUUCUUUAUUUUACUUUUUAUGUUUAUUUUUUUGAACAAGGGUUUCUGCCUUUUUUCCAGUACUGUAGGAAAUGGAGCAGCCUUAUGCAUGGAAACGUGGAGGCGACGGCGUCUCCAAUGAUAGUCUUCACCCAUUUCAUCCAAUCAAAUGGGAGAAUGACAUCUACAGAGCCUGGUCCUUCUAUUUAUCCAGAAGAAUAGACUUAAGAUAUUUUUAGUUAUUUACAAUACAGACCCUCUCCUGUGCACUCAUCAGUGAGGUUAACUGUAGAUAAAAUAAAGAUUUGAUUGUGGGCAAGGCGGUGGCGCAUCUGGUUGAACACACAAGGACCCAGGUUUCAAGCUCCUGGUCCUGACCUGCAGGGUCACAAUGAUGACCUUUCGCUUCACAAUGAUGAAGUCUCUUUCCCUCUGUCUUCCCCGCCUCUUUAAUUUUUCUGUCUCUAUCCUAUACCCUAAAGGAAGUUAUAAAGAAGAGGAUUUUGAAACUUUUUCCAGUGAAAGGAAGAGAAUGACUAAAAUCAACACAAGCUUUGGGUUUUUUCUUUUCGGAUGAAUGGUGAGGAACUAAAACACCUUCAAAGCGUGAAGGGAAUGAAUGGAUGAAUAAAUGCAUAUUGUUGG